rnacentral:pre_miRNA from 1 species
GUCCGUCUUAUAUGAAUUUUUUUUAUAAUUAGUAUUUUUAUUGUUGUUAAAUGAUAAAACAUGAUCAAUACUUUAUGCGUGACUUAUCUUUUUAAUUUUUUUCAUAAUUUUUUUAAAUAAGAUGAACGGUUAAACGUUGGAUAUGAAACCUAGG